CCUACGGGUGGCAGCAGUGAGGAAUAUUGGUCAAUGGACGAGAGUCUGAACCAGCCAAGUAGCGUGAAGGAUGACUGCCCUAUGGGUUGUAAACUUCUUUUAUAAAGGAAUAAAACGAGGCACGUGUGCCUUUUUGCAUGUACUUUAUGAAUAAGGAUCGGCUAACUCCGUGCCAGCAUCCGCGGUAAUACGGAGGAUCCGAUCGUUAUCCGGAUUUGUUGGGUUUAAAGGGAGCGUAGAUGGGUUGUUAAGUCAGUUGUGAAAGUUUGCGGCUCAACCGUAAAAUUGCAAUUGAUACUGGCAGUCUUGAGUACAGUUGAGGUAGGCGGAAUUCGUGGUGUAGCGGUGAAAUGCUUAGAUAUCACGAAGAACCCCGAUUGCGAAGGCAGCUUACUAAACUGUGACUGACAUUGAUGCUCGAAAGUGUGGGUAUCAAACAGGAUUAGAUACCCGAGUAGUC
rnacentral:rRNA from 1 species